rnacentral:tRNA from 1 species
GCUCUAAUAGCUUACACCACUAAAGCAUUGUUUUUGUAAACCAAAGCCGGACUACCCCCUUGGAGCACCA